rnacentral:rRNA from 1 species
AGAGUUCGAUCCUGGCUCAGGAUGAACGCUGGCGGCGCGCCUAACACAUGCAAGUCGAACGGCACCUAUCUUCGGAUAGAAGCGAGUGGCGAACGGCUGAGUAACACGUGGAGAACCUGCCCCCUCCCCCGGGAUAGCCGCCCGAAAGGACGGGUAAUACCGGAUACCCCCGGGCGCCGCAUGGCGCCCGGGCUAAAGCCCCGACGGGAGGGGAUGGCUCCGCGGCCCAUCAGGUAGACGGCGGGGUGACGGCCCACCGUGCCGACAACGGGUAGCCGGGUUGAGAGACCGACCGGCCAGAUUGGGACUGAGACACGGCCCAGACUCCUACGGGAGGCAGCAGUGGGGAAUCUUGCGCAAUGGGGGGAACCCUGACGCAGCGACGCCGCGUGCGGGACGGAGGCCUUCGGGUCGUAAACCGCUUUCAGCAGGGAAGAGUCAAGACUGUACCUGCAGAAGAAGCCCCGGCUAACUACGUGCCAGCAGCCGCGGUAAUACGUAGGGGGCGAGCGUUGUCCGGAAUGAUUGGGCGUAAAGGGCGCGUAGGCGGCCUGCUAAGUCUGGAGUGAAAGUCCUGCUUUCAAGGUGGGAAUUGCUUUGGAUACUGGUGGGCUGGAGUGCAGGAGAGGAAAGCGGAAUUACCGGUGUAGCGGUGAAAUGCGUAGAGAUCGGUAGGAACACCAGUGGCGAAGGCGGCUUUCUGGACUGAAACUGACGCUGAGGCGCGAAAGCGUGGGGAGCAAACAGGAUUAGAUACCCUGGUAGUCCACGCC